UGUCAGCCCACAGGCACAGCAGCUGCACUCGCUGCACUGGGUGCACACAGAGGACUGCUCACCCACCAACCCAGCUAAAAGACAUCCUCUAUGAGAAGGGAAGCAGCAAAGAGAAGAAGAAAAGCCAAAUCUUACCUGGCGGCAGGAAUCCCCAGAGAUGGUGCCUACUGGUUUUCAUAGGAGCCCCUGACAGUACCUGGGCAGUCCCUGGCGGCAUUAUAUUGAUUUCCACGGGAUUUUGGUGAGAUAAUUGAAGAUGCAUUAGAAGAAAGAAUUGCUAAACAGCGUGCCAAGAGUUCUCUGAGAAUUGUG
rnacentral:lncRNA from 12 species